rnacentral:rRNA from 1 species
AGCGCAGACGGCGAAGCAAGUCUGAAGUGAAAUGCAUGGGCUCAACCCAUGAAUUGCUUUGGAAACUGUUUGGCUUGAGUGUCGGAGGGGUAAGCGGAAUUCCUAGUGUAGCGGUGAAAUGCGUAGAUAUUAGGAGGAACACCGGAGGCGAAGGCGGCUUACUGGACGACAACUGACGUUGAGGCUCGGAAGGCGUGGGGAGCAAACA